rnacentral:lncRNA from 1 species
CGGACGGAGCAGGGAAGGGCUUGGGGUGCAGGAGAGGGGGCUGAGGGCGAGGAGAGCUCGCUGGCUAACGCGGGGGCCGGGAUCGGGCACGAGGCUGUUUGCCCAGCUGCGAGGAGCGCUCCCCCCGGGGGGCUGGCAGCGGGGGGAGGGGGGGAGGGCUCAGAGGGGGAAACUCAGAACGCCCGCGGUUAGGGGACGGGAGCUCCAGCGAGGGGCCCAUGGGCCUGGAACAGCGCAGGGUCAGGGCUCGGUGUGUCUGGGACGGGAGUCCGCUACCGGGUCCUGCACGUGGACCCUCGGCUGGCCCGGGGGGCGCCCAGCCCAGUCCCCUCGGAGGCGGCUCUUCGGACGCUGCUGCGGGUGGGGAGGCGCGGGAGGGGCGGGGUUUGGGGCCGGGGCUACCAAGUGGGAGCGCAGAUGGCAUUUUCUGUCCUAAGAUUGCUUUGAAUCACUGAACCACUGAGAAGAAUCUCUGAAUUAUAACAAACUACACUUGAAUUACAAAUAAAGAAGUCUUCGAAUAAUAAAUCUGUAUUGGACUACACUAACAUGGUUGUAUGACUUCCUCCAGGCCCUUUUGCUAGCAUACCCUCUGAAAGGAUUUCAGAG